rnacentral:rRNA from 1 species
UACGUAGAUGGCAAGCGUGUCCGGAUUUAUUGGGUUUAAAGGGUGCGUAGGCGGUUUUUUAAGUCAGUGGUGAAAUACGUCAGCUUAACUGGCGAGGUGCCAUUGAUACUGGGGAACUUGAGUACUGAUGAGGUAGGCGGAAUGGACGGUGUAGCGGUGAAAUGCUUAGAUAUCGUCCAGAACACCGAUAGCGAAGGCAGCUUACUAAAGAGUAACUGACGCUGAGGCACGAAAGUGUGGGGAUCAAACAGG